rnacentral:rRNA from 1 species
GAUGAACGCUAGCUACAGGCUUAACACAUGCAAGUCGAGGGGCAGCAUGAAGUCAGCUUGCUGACUUUGAUGGCGACCGGCGCACGGGUGAGUAACGCGUAUCCAACCUUCCCCUUACUCAGGAAUAGCCCGUUGAAAGACGGAUUAAUGCCUGAUGUUCUCUGUUUCCGGCAUCGGUAAUAGAGCAAAGAUUCAUCGGUAAGGGAUGGGGAUGCGUGACAUUAGGUAGAUGGCGGGGUAACGGCCCACCAUGCCCACGAUGUCUAGGGGGUUCCUGAGAGGAAAGGGUCCCCCCACACUGGAACUGAGACACGGUCCAGACUCCUACGGGAGCAGCAGUGAGGAAUAUUGGGUCAAUGGUCGGAAGACUGAACC